rnacentral:rRNA from 1 species
AUUGAACGCUGCGGCAUGCCUUACACAUGCAAGUCGAACGGUAACAGGUCUUCGGAUGCUGACGAGUGGCGAACGGGUGAGUAAUACAUCGGAACGUGCCUAGUAGUGGGGGAUAACUACUCGAAAGAGUGGCUAAUACCGCAUGAGAUCUACGGAUGAAAGCAGGGGAUCGCAAGACCUUGUGCUACUAGAGCGGCCGAUGGCAGAUUAGGUAGUUGGUGGGAUAAAAGCUUACCAAGCCGACGAUCUGUAGCUGGUCUGAGAGGACGAUCAGCCACACUGGGACUGAGACACGGCCCAGACUCCUACGGGAGGCAGCAGUGGGGAAUUUUGGACAAUGGGCGAAAGCCUGAUCCAGCAAUGCCGCGUGCAGGAUGAAGGCCUUCGGGCUGUAAACUGCUUUUGUACGGAACGAAAAGCCCCGGGUUAAUACCCUGGGGUCAUGACGGUACCGUAAGAAUAAGCACCGGCUAACUACGUGCCAGCCGCCGCGGUAA